rnacentral:lncRNA from 1 species
AAAAUGGUUCCCAAAUUCUGGUUACUCUGGACACUCAGUGUUAAACUUGGUGAGGACAACAUAUUGUCAGUCUCCAGAAGGGACAUUCACCCAACAAGAAACCAGGCUAAUAAUUCAGCUGGGAAAAUUCUCACUUCCUGUGGUGAACAAUCCUGUUUAAAUCACUGGCCGGUGGUGCUUCAGUGCAUGGUGCCUGUGAAUCCCCUGCAGAUGUUUUCAAAAUGCAAAUCCCGACUCAAGAUCAGAUGGAGGCUGAUACUGUGCAUGUGUGACAAGCUCAACAGGACGCCAGUGGCGCUGGUCUGAGUAGUGAAAUAAUAGAUCCACAAUGGACUUAGAAACAAAAGGAGAGAAGUCCUGACGUCUCUGAAUAUUUUCAACCAAUUAAUAUGUAUUGUGCACCAACUAUGCACAAAAUAUAAUUUGCAGUCUUUUAAGAAAGAAUAGGCCAUUGCCAGGCAGUUUUAAAUGUGAGGUCUGGGGCGCCUGGGUGGCACAGCAGUUAAGCGUCUGUCUUCGGCUCAGGGCGUGAUCCCCGCGUUGUGGGAUCGAGCCCCACAUCAGGCUCCUCCACUAUGAGCCUGCUUCUUCCUCUCCCACUCCCCCUGCUUGUGUUCCCUCUCUCGCUGGCUGUCUCUAUCUCUGUCG